rnacentral:lncRNA from 1 species
AUGGAUCCUACACAUGAGACACGAUUGUUUUUCAGGAAGGAAGAAAUCAGGGAACUCUUUCAUGUUGAUACUUACCUUUUCUCCACUGUGGUCAUUUGGUACCUAGAAAGGGUCACUUGCACAAGAAGUAUUUCCUGGUAUGGAGGAGCCUGUGUAUGGAAAACCAUGAAAGAGGAGCCUCACAGCGAAGGUCCGAAGUCCGUCUGUCUUUUUUUUUUUUUUUCCAGGACUUUCAGGAGGAGAAAAUCCCUUCCCUUUCCAACUGCUGUUCUAACAACUGCUUCCCUGUAAUCUCAGAGCCCAGUGACCCUCCAAGGGUCAGAAGCAGGGUCUGGGUGGCAGUGGAGGCUUGGCCGGGGGGGGGGGGGGGAGGCUUCCCUCCAAAAGCCCUGAUUUGAGAAGAGGAAGAACACAGGACAGGGGCCCUUGCAAAUGCAGCUUCAAGAAUUCACCCAGAGCCUCUUGGAAAGAGAUAAGAAUAGUGCUCAUUCCCUUUCCUCUCCCCACCGUCACCCCAUUUCCUGUCCCUGCUCCAGGAAUAUGCAAUAUCCCACAGGAGCUUGUCACACAGGAUCCCAGCACAGAGCAACAGAUGCUCCUGUAUUUGCAUAAGCACACACAUGAUGAAAAGCUUGCUGUUCCAGACUGUUUGCAAAAGAAAACUGUCGCUUUAAGAAAGGGGUCAGCAUGAUGCUCUGGUACAUCCCAUCAGCAAAAAAUUACCGCUUCCACCUGUGCGACAUCUUGGCUUACUUUACAACAGCAGGUCUCAAAAAAUAUUCCAGAACUCUGGAGGAUCCUAAGAUCCUUUCUGAGGUUCUGAUAGCUCAAAAUUAUAAUGAUAUGAUAUUAUUUACCUUUUCUAUUCGCAUUUUCUUAUAAGUAUUAUGGAGCUUCUAGAGCAUAUGUAAAAUUGACGUCAGUAAGUUCUAUGUAUGUAGUUCAUAGUAAGUGAAUAGUAAAUGCACAUGUGAGAAUCCAAGACUCUUUUAUUAAGCCAAGCAAUAAAAGGAUUUGCAAAAAUGUAAAAGAAUGCCAUUUGUCUUGCUGUAUUUUUUGUUUUAGAACAGUUAUAUUUCAUAAAAAUAUGUUAUUUAUAUUAACAUGUAAUGGGUUUGUUAUUGCUACUUCAAUGAAUUAAUAAGUGCAUUUAAAAAUUUCUCAGUUUGUGAAAAAAAAUAAAAAAAUAAUAAAAUAAAAAUUUCUCAGUUUGGGGGUGCCUGGGUGGCUCAGUAGUUGAGCAUCUGCCUUUGGCUCAG